GGAGAGAUGGGUGAGUGGCUGAAACCAGUUGUUUGCUAAACAACCGUACAGGGUAAACCUGUACCGAGGGUUCGAAUCCCUCUCUCUCCGCCA
rnacentral:tRNA from 1 species